rnacentral:tRNA from 1 species
GCCGAGAUGGCGGAACAGGUAGACGCAGGGGACUUAAAAUCCCCCGGGCUUUAAAACCCGUACCGGUUCGAGUCCGGUUCUCGGCA